rnacentral:rRNA from 1 species
GUCUUAUUGAAAUUAAAUAAUAAGUUUAUUCUGCCCAUUGAAUGAAAUUUAAAAGGCUGCAGUAAUUUAACUGUACAAAGGUAGCAUAAUCAAUAGUUUUUUAAUUGAAAACUUGAAUGAAAGAAUUGAUAAAAUAUUAAUUGUCUCAAAUUUAAUUUAAUUGAAUUUAAGUUAAAGGUUAAAAUUCUUUUAUAUAUUUAUUAGACGAUAAGACCCUAAGAAUUUUAUAAUAAUUUUUUUAUUAAUUAAAUUAAAUAAAUUUAAAAUUUUAAAUUUAUUAUUUUAUUGGGAGGGUAAUUAAAAAUUUAAACUUUAAUUAAAUUUAAACUUUGAUUAUUGAAUUUAAUGAUUAUUAUUAUAGUUAGAAGAAAAAAUUACCUUAGGGAUAACAGCGUAAUAAUUUUGGAAAGUUCAUAUUGAUAAAAUUGUUUGCGACCUCGAUGUUGAAUUAAAAUUAAAAUUAAAUGGAGAUAUUUAAAUUUUUAGUCUGUUCGACUAUUAAAAUUUUACA